rnacentral:siRNA from 1 species
GCUGUGAUAUUCGUGGUGAUUGUG